ACACACACACACACACACACACACACACACACACACACACACACACACACACACACACACACACACACACACACACACACACACACACACACACACACACACACACACACACACACACACACACACACACACAUAAAAAGUACUCUCUUUUUGUUGUAAUAUGGAGCUGUCAAAAGAAAGAGUAUUUUGAAAUUUUCAAGAAAGGGUAUCUUUUACUCUUUUUCAAGUUUCGCCUACUUUCUCAUUUAUGGGUGAAAAUAGCGAUGGCUGAUUGAAUUUAGUUUAGAAGCAGGAUAUCGACGAGAAGGAACCAUAUAUUGGAAUCAUUGGAAUCGAGAUCGAAAUAUAAUAUAUUACUUCCGCUUUAUCAUCUUGGCCAUACACGGAGGAAUUUCUAAUGAGGGACAUGGCAUCGUUAAAACAUAAAUUGGUGCCCCUGCGUGAGACUGUGGCCAGUUCAGACUGGGCUAUUAUCAGAACCACUGGAGAAGGAGAAGCUACUGACCCGGAUCCUAAAGUAUUUUUCCCGCUGGAUUGUUGAAGAAGGCAAGAAAAAAGCCUGAGCACCCUGAUGCUGAGUCCCCAGCUCGCGGAAAAUUGUGCGAUUUAUUACACUGUGAGACCAAAGUACUCUUUAAAGGGUGAAAAAGUACCCACUUUGAGAGUAACUAGGUGAACUCUUAAAAAGAGUAAACGGCCUUUACUCUUAAAAGAGUAAAGUGCUCGUACGUCAGUGCAACGAGUAAAUUUUACCCAUUAUCCACAGAAACCCCGGUUGGAAAAAAUGGGUAAAUUUAACUCUUUUUGAUUUUCUUUAUUUUAAAUUUGCAUGAAAAAUGAAAAUGGUAAACAUAGAAAACAAUUUAACAUAAGAACAAAUUUAUUUAAUCAAAAAUUGUUGUUAUGUAACAAAUAUGAAGUUCCUAUCGCUGCUGAAUGAGUUGGAGAAAUCUUUCGACGACAACCCGACAAUAUCGACGAAGUCCCAUUUUUUCGGAUGUCCUGCACUUGGUCCUGCAAUCAAACAACAAUAUUUUGGAUGAUUUUAUAAUCACAGACAAUGAAAGCAAAAUUAAAGUCAUUAUUAUACCUACUUACCAGUUAUUUCUAGUUUUAUGUUUGUUAAAACUCACGAUCUCACAAAAAAUACAAGUGCCGAGAGCAAAAUUGAUUCACGAUCAGAACAGAAUUUUCACCCUAUAAAGAGUAAAUACUUGGAACUUGAAAAUGGGCAAAAAUUACCCUUCGUUCAAAAUUUUGAAGUACCCUUUAUUUUGACAGCUCCAUAUAUCUGCAAAAAGAGAGUACUUUUUACUCCUUAAAGGGUAAUGCCGGGUUCGCAGUGUAUGAACAGUUUAUAGAUACAUACUAUUGCGCGCAAACCCCAACAUUUUAUUCCCACCUUUGGGUUUCCGCGCCGAGGACCCAGCGCCAGAUUCGGCGACAAAGAAAACUGACAACAGUCGCCGGACAGUUGGCAAUCCUGAUAUUUGACGGCGGCCGCCCGGUAGUCAUGGGAGUGGAUUGUUGUCACGCAAAUAGAUCUUUUCGCUGAAAAUACAUGUGUAUUGAGUUAUUGUUGACAGAUUUUCUGCAGUGUUAGUGUGAAAUUCAGCGAUUUUCUGUAUCGCGUAAGCCUUCGCUGGAGGAAAACGUCAUGUUGUUCAGCGAAGCAAGGAAAA